rnacentral:lncRNA from 1 species
AUAUACCUAUAUUUGUACACGCCAAACGGUAAUUUCAUUAUAACAAAUACAUUUGGCAAGCGUCUGAGCAGUCGAAACUUAAACAACGUUUAAGAUUUGAAGGAGACGCUUACCCCUAUGACGCAUCCGUUCUGGCUCCUUGUAGAGGUCUUACAAUUUCCUCAGGUUCUGUUUUUAUAACUAUAUUUCAUUAAUGCAUAUACAAAUGCAUUAUAUUUGAACAUAAGUUUACUAAUGUUGUCUCUAAUUUAAAUGUAUUUUCUCCGGCACGUCUUCUAACUGAUU